AUGGGAGAACUCAAUACCUCCCCUGAAACUUCCUGCCAUACCCCAACUGGGUUUUGUCUCUGGCAAUACUCCAUGCUUACUCACCAAGGUGGGGUAGUGCCACAGGGGAUAAAAGGAACACAUAGGUGUGAUGAUCCAGGGGGUAAACAAAUGGCAGGAGAAGGGUUCCCCUUCUUCCCACUUGCCUCCUACCAAACCUCACCCUCCUGGGGAGACUUUACAAGGCCUGCAUUCUUCCCUGAAAUGAAGGACAGCAAUUCAGCGAGGUAGGUUAGGCUGAGAGAUGGCGGCUUGCUCAGCCCAGUGGGCAGCAUAUCUGUGGAAGAAACUGAAUACAGCAGGUAGAGGGGUGAGAGGACUGCAAUUUGCCACAGGCCAAGGAGAAGGCCUCAUUCUGAAGAAGGAUUUGAAGCUGGCUGGGUUACAUUUUAUCCAUUAGUCAGGCUUGUUUGACAACAACAUGAAAUGGUGUCUUUAGUGUCAUUGGCCCAGUCCUGUGGAAUACCUUGCCAAUAGAGAUUCAGCAGGUGCCUUCUGCACUGACUUUUAAACCCCUGCCGAAAAUGUUUCUACUACUACUACUGCUACAGUGGUACCUCAGAUUAAGUACUUAAUUCGUUCCGGAGGUCCGUUCUUAACCUGAAACUGUUCUUAACCUAAAGCACCACUUUAGCUAAUGGGGCCUCCUGCUGCUGCCGCGCCGCCAGAGCACAAUUUCUGUUCUCAUCCUGAAGCAAAGUUCUUAACCUGAAGCACUAUUUCUGGGUUAGCGGAGUCUGUAACCUGAAGUGUAUGUAACCUGAAGCAUAUGUAACCUGAGGUACCACUGUACUUUUAUUAUUUGUACCCCACCCAUCUGACUGGGUUGCCCCAGCCACUCUGAGCAGCUUCCAGCAUAUAUAAAAACAUUCCAUCAGGCCUAGAUGGUACAUCCUCCACAGUGGUAUACUGAUUAAUUUUUUUAAACCCACUGGUUUAGUGCAUUGGUCUUCAGCUGCUGAGUACGGACCCGCUGCUGGGCUUGACUUAAAGUGGGACACCAGAGCAGCACAACAGCCCUACAAAUAUAUGAUAAAAAUGUGUUGGCUCAAGGUGGAGCCUCUGACAAGUCUGAAGCUUACUGGUUUAGCGUGAAUGAGUGGGUUCGCAGACUGAAGAUCACGGCUGCAGCAGGACCCCAGGAGCAACUCUGUGGCUGUGAACCUCAGUCUGCAAACCCACACAUUUGCUAGUUCAUGCUAAGCCAUGGUUUGGCCUAGCAUUACAUGUGAACUGGGCCUAAUUGG
rnacentral:lncRNA from 1 species